UAGGGAAUAGGGUGCCUCCCUUGGUCUAAAGUAGUGUACUAUAUAGGUAACAGGGUGCCUCCCUUGGGCUAAAGUAGAGUACUAUAUAGGUAACAGGGUGCCUCCCUUGGUCUAAAGUAGAGUACUAUAUAGGUAACAGGGUGCCUCCCUUGGUCUAAAGUAGAGUACUAUAUAGGUAACAGGGUGCCAUUUGUUCCUCUCUCCUUGUUUCCUUCUCUUUAUUUUUCUUUAAACUCCAGUUCUAUUUUUAAUUCUUACUAAUAGACCUCCCAAGACACUUAACAGUGUUUCAACGCCAACGGUGAAAUCUAAAGCACUACCAAGUAGUGUGUGUUUUUGAAACCUAUACUGUACUUUUUACAUAGUUAAUGUGGUGAAUAAUGAGCCCUGUUGGAAUUAUCAUGACAACUUUAAUGUAGCACAGCUUUCAUUUUAGUUCAUUUAAAAUACC